UUUUUAAUUUUUAAGUAAAUAGUAAUUGUUACACACACCCCACACAUUUAAGCCGGCCGUUUCAUGUCUUAAAAUGAAGAGGUGUGCUCGUUGUGGGAACAUUAAUUCUUUUCAUGUGUAUGGUUAUUCAGCAAUUCGUCUGUCUAACCAAAGGAAGAUUAGAUACAUUUCAUUCAAAAAAAAGCUUUUCUUUAUUUGUGUCUACUUUUACAGGUAAUUUGAAACAAGGCGCCCUACUUGGAAUUCAUUAGAUGGUGAUAAGUAACGGUGAGGGUGCCUUGGCUUGGAUUUUUAUAAGCUGAUAAGUAACGGUGAGGGUGCCUUGGCUUGGAUUUUUAUAAGCUGGUGAGUAAAAUUGCAUUAUUUGCUUACUUCUUUUUUAAUUAUUGUGUGAUGAUUAAUUUACCGCCCCAGUCUGAAACCGGUGACUGAUUGGUUUGUCUGAUUAUUCAUUUAUUUAUUUUUUUUAAUUUUUUGUUAACUGUUUCAAAAGCAACUUUUUCUUUGUUGCAGGUUCUUGAGGUAAAUAUUCUUCAUAUAUUUCUGUAAUUAAAAAAAUUUGAAUAAAAACGUAAAACAA